GUCCUAUGUUCAUACAAAUUUGCAACAAAACCUACACAAAUAGCAUCCCAACUCCCACUAGUAUAACCAAUUCACAUUGUCAUGAUUGGUCUAGAAUUUUUGUUUCCACAACCAAGGGCAACGGUUAAAGGACCAAUAUCCUUUGUCUCUCUAAUCCCCUCAAGAUAAAAAUGUAAGAAAAAUACUUUUAACUAUCAAACAAACAAUCCAGCCUCUCCUAACUAUGGUAAGGAGAAAAUGAAAAAUAAUCUCUUUGCAAAACACUGCUUUCUUGUCAGAAAACCAUUAGGCCUAACUAUUUCAGUGAAGGUCAAGUCCUGCAAAAGUGCACAAAGAUAACGUAAAAAGAUAUUGAUAACAGAAGUACAUACAGAUUUGGACUUCAUUGAAGAAACAUUGCCCACACUGCUCACUUCUCUACCGUGGUAAGGCUCAAAGGCUUAAGUCACAGGAUAUACUAUAGAAAAAAAUAAUAAUAAUAAUAAUAAUCAAAUGUGUACAACCUAUUUCUGAUCAGUUACAAUACACUAGGAAAACAUCAUCAAGGCCACACAUUUUCAAAAGAAUCAGAAAGCACAAUAUUUUGUAAAUCUGAUUGUCAAAUACAAAAUCCAACCAGCACCAACUAACUAACAGGGCAUGCCAACCAUUGUUCUGAGAGUUUGGAGGCAAUAACAAAUAAACCAAGAUCAUCUACUACUAUGGUUAGAAAUUUGGACUGCCAGGAUAAUACAGAAAGCUUCCAAGAAAAGCCAUAAAAAGGUUUGGAUACGAAAAUUCAUAUUGACCAACUUCAAAUUAUCCGUAUUCGAAAGAAAAAAGUGUCUGAGUCAAGUAAAAAAAUACUAGCAUAAAAGAUGCCAUUCUCGCAGUACAGCAAUUCAAGAAAACAUCACUAAAAAAGAUUAUGUUAACAGGAAUACGAAAUUAAAGUAAGCAAAAAUAGACAAAUAAAAAGAGAGUUUUUCUUCCACCUACCAACCCAGUACCAAAGAUACAUCUGGAUAUAAUCGAGUCUUUGCAAUUCGAUUCUGCAAUAAUACAAAUCACAUAGGAAAUGCAGCAGGAUACCAACCCAAUAUAUUUGUCAAAAAGCAUGUGUAUUUGGAAUCAUCUAAACAAUGUAGUCCUAACCAUUUGUAUUCCGACAAUUCAUAAAAAGGUAUAAUUUUUCCCUGUACAUUAAACAUCGAAAUUGCUACAUUGAAAAAAAUACAGGAGUCGAGCACAAAAGCUCAAAGAGCGUCAUAUCCAUUAAUAGGUGCCAAAACGACAUUAUUACAAGGAGAUUUAGAAGAACAUCAAAAUAAAAGGCAAAACAGUGCAACAACUACAAAGAACUUAUUUUAAUUUUACAGCUAUAUAAAAAAUUAAAUCUACAAAUGAAUUCUACUUUCAACCAGCGAUCUCAGCAAAAGUUGGAUUAAUAUCCAAAAUUCUUUUUGCUGAAUUCAAUUUCAGAACUAGUCCACAUGGAGAGUAAAAAUAUAAAGAUUUUUUUUAAAAGUUUGAUCGAGCAACACAUGUUAUACCUUAAAAAAAAUUCAUUUGAAAAUGGUGAAGGCCCUGGAGUUGCUUUCGUAAUUACAGUUCCUUCCCAUCCCAUCUCAUGCUUCCUUCGCCAAUGUCGACUUGUUUGAAUCGUCCGUUUCCGGUCUCAGCUUCA
rnacentral:lncRNA from 1 species